rnacentral:rRNA from 1 species
AGAUUGAACGCUGGCGGCAUGCCUUACACAUGCAAGUCGAACGGCAGCACGGGAGCAAUCCUGGUGGCGAGUGGCGAACGGGUGAGUAAUACAUCGGAACGUGCCCAGUAGUGGGGGAUAACCCGGCGAAAGCCGGACUAAUACCGCGUACGACCUACGGGUGAAAGCAGGGGAUCGCAAGACCUUGCGCUAUUGGAGCGGCCGAUGUCAGAUUAGCUAGUUGGUGGGGUAAGAGCCUACCAAGGCGUCGAUCGGUAGCUGGUCUGAGAGGACGAUCAGCCACACUGGGAUUGAGAACGGCCCAGACUCCUACGGGGGGCAGCAGUGAGGAAUUUUCGGCAAUGGGGAAACCCUGACCGAGCAACGCCGCGUGCAGGAAGACGGCCUUCGGGUUGUAACUGCUUUCUUUGGUAAGAGAACGGACGGUACCAGAGGAUCAGCCCGGCUCACUACGUGCCAGCAGCCGC